rnacentral:misc_RNA from 1 species
UCCGAGUUGUCCCCGGCAGUCCCCUUAAAGUCCCCGGCAUACCCGCUGGCAACUAAGGGCAGGGGUUGCGCUCGUUGCGGCACUUAACCCAACAUCUCACGACACGAGCUGACGACAACCAUGCACCACCUGUGAACCGGCCCCAAAGGGGAAGGGCUGUUUCCAGCCCGGUCCGGCCCAUGUCAAGCCUUGGUAAGGUUCUUCGCGUUGCAUCGAAUUAAUCCGCAUGCUCCGCCGCUUGUGCGGGCCCCCGUCAAUUCCUUUGAGUUUUAGCCUUGCGGCCGUACUCCCCAGGCGGGGCACUUAAUGCGUUAGCUGCGGCACGGAACUCGUGGAAUGAGCCCCACACCUAGUGCCCAACGUUUACGGCAUGGACUAC